GUGCCAGCCGCCGCGGUAAUACGGAGGGUGCAAGCGUUAAUCGGAAUUACUGGGCGUAAAGCGCACGCAGGCGGUUUGUUAAGUCAGAUGUGAAAUCCCCGGGCUCAACCUGGGAACUGCAUUUGAAACUGGCAAGCUUGAGUCUCGUAGAGGGGGGUAGAAUUCCAGGUGUAGCGGUGAAAUGCGUAGAGAUCUGGAGGAAUACCGGUGGCGAAGGCGGCCCCCUGGACGAAGACUGACGCUCAGGUGCGAAAGCGUGGGGAGCAAACAGGAUUAGAUACCCUGGUAGUCCACGCCGUAAACGAUGUCUAUUUGGAGGUUGUGCCCUUGAGGCGUGGCUUCCGGAGCUAACGCGUUAAAUAGACCGCCUGGGGAGUACGGCCGCAAGGUUAAAACUCAAAUGAAUUGACGGGGCCCGCACAAGCGGUGGAGCAUGUGGUUUAAUUCGAUGCAACGCGAAGAACCUUACCUACUCUUGACAUCCACGGAAUUUAGCAGAGAUGCUUUAGUGCCUUCGGGAACCGUGAGACAGGUGCUGC
rnacentral:rRNA from 1 species